AGAAAAAAAGGGAGGAAGAGUGUUGUUCGCAAAUCAAGUGGUAAGAAGAUUAAAGAGAUGAAUAAGGGUUAUCCUGAGCUUGCAAAAAGAUAUGGACACAAAGGAGCUUCAUCAAGUAAAUUGGGCCCAAAAAGGACAUGGAGAGCAGCAACUACAGCAGUAUUUAUUUCAUCAUCAACAGCUAGUGGAGGGGCUAGAGACAGAAAUAUGGUUAAAGAGGCUCAUGAAACUCUAUAACUGGGAAAAUUAUUGGGACUAAAUUACAAAGGGAAUGAAGAGGAAGUGUUGUCCAAAAUUAUGGAGCUAGAGGCAAAGGAUAGAGCAAGAAUGGGAGGGGGUACUGAUGCUGCAGCUUAAAGUGUAGCUUUGGGGGUCAGAGAUCAGUGUUAAUGGUUAAUGAUGAAGGUAACAUGGAAUGUGAGGGGUUUGGAAACGAAGGAAAAAAUGAGUAAAAUAAAAAGCAUGUUAAAAGCUAGAGGAAUUGACAUUGUUCUAUUACAAGAGACAAAGAAAGCAUCUAUGUUAGAAGAGGAGGUACAUGAAUUAUGGGCUAGGGAUAGGAUGAAAUUCAUGACAGUGGAUGCUGAAGGAACUACUGGUGGCUUAUUAUGCAUAUGGGAUCCAGGAGUGCUGCAAGUCUCAAGUUGCUGCUGUAAUUGAAGAUUUAUUCUUCUAUCAGGAUUUUGGUUGAUCUUGAUUGGCUUUUGUGCUUCUUUUGCGGUGCUAACCUAGUUGGGAUUGUAGAGUUGGGUCAAGAUACGGGCAGCACGGAUUAUGGUGUUGGCCCGUGUGGGGACCAGACGUUGUGCCUGGCUGAGUUGCAUCAACACAAUGCUUCGACCCACUACAAUUGGCCAGGCUAUAUGUAGCUUGGGCGUACGGUGGCUUGUGGAUGCAUAGCCAGGUGAGGACUAUGCGGAACGGGAUGGUUGUCGAGCUAUGGAUAGUUUCGACUGAUGUGGGGACAGAUGACUCUUGAGAUCGGUGUGCGGGGCCAAGAUAUCAAACGGCACGCCCGUGUCUAGGCUGUUCUCAUGGAUUGGUUCGGUUUUGCUCGGCUAUGUCUGUCUAUUGUGAUGCUUGUGUUUCACCAAGUAAUGGCUUGGCCCAGCACUCCACAGGGACCGAUGAAGAGAAAGGGGGCAAUCCAUUCCCGGUAUGCGUCAAUACCGUUUGGCGGUGCGACAAAUAUUGUUUGGAGAUUUUAGUCUCUACACGUGUAAGAAAGGUAAAGGAGAACAUAGCCGCCUAUCUAGAGAAGGACAGCAGAGGUAGUGUGUCCACAACCUCUGAGGCUACAUAGCCAACCUUGAAAAGGAGGAGCAUGCAGACGAUGAAGGUAAGCAAUCGGAAGGAAUUUCCAACUCUCUCUCUAUAGUGCUCUCUUCUUCUUCUUCAUGUGUGCUGACUUGAUCGUCGGAGGGUUUAUCUGGCAGAACACCGCUGGGCAGCUCACCAUCUUUCUGUUCUCAAGUUAAGCAACGUUACGUGAAGCUUUGAUUCAAGGAAUACGGAGAACUGAAAAUAUUUCACUCCUGUGCGCUAUCUAUAACUACUAUUACAAGGAGAUUAAGACAUCUACAAUGAUUAUGGUCUCAUUUAUUUAAAAGACAAAUGUUAAUAAGUAUUUUUAGUGCAUUAUUGUUCCUAUCUAUUGUUAGAAAUGAUUGGAAAAAUUUUGGGUAAAACUAGAAUUGUUUCCUAAGUUUGGUCUAUUUUUUAGGUGGGACCCGAGCGUCGAUUUUCACGAGUCAAAGUGGUAAUGCGUUCUAUGCCACGUUGUGAUUCACGUGGUAUAUUUGGUUGCUCAAAACCAUUAUCGAAUCAAUGGGAAAUUAAAACCAAAGUGUGUUCCAUGGAAAUGGAGUUUUGGUGAAAAUUUCUUGAGGUUUGUGUAA